ACCACAUUUAGAAGCUAAGAUCAAAGUGUAGUGUCUGUUCUUAUCAGUUUAAUAUCUGAUAUGUUCUGCAAUUUCACAUUUGACUUCAUUCAGAACUCUU
rnacentral:snRNA from 1 species